UUUCUAUUCGUUUACC
rnacentral:sRNA from 1 species